rnacentral:rRNA from 1 species
UACGUAGGGUGCGAGCGUUGCCCGGAUUUAUUGGGCGUAAAGGGCGCGUAGGCGGCCACGCACGUCCGUUGUGAAAUCGCCCGGCUCAACUGGGCGGGUCAGCGGAUACGGCGCGGCUGGAGCAAGCUAGGGGGCAAUGGAAUUCCCGGUGUAGUGGUGGAAUGCGUAGAUAUCGGGAGGAACACCAGUGGCGAAGGCGGUUGCCUGGAGCUUUGCUGACGCUGAGGCGCGAAAGCGUGGGGAGCGAGUCCGGG